rnacentral:rRNA from 1 species
UACGUAGGGGACUAGCGUUGUCCGGAUUUAUUGGGCGUAAAGAGCGUGUAGGCGGCCAAAUAGGUCGGUUGUGAAAACUGGAGGCUUAACCUCCAGCCGUCGACCGAAACCAUCUGGCUAGAGUCCGGAAGAGGAGAGUGGAAUUCCUGGUGUAGCGGUGAAAUGCGCAGAUAUCAGGAAGAACACCCGUGGCGAAGGCGGCUCUCUGGGACGGUACUGACGCUGAGACGCGAAAGCGUGGGGAGCAAACAGG